GGUCUAUUUGGAAACAGCCUCUCUACCCAAGGGUAGGGGUAAGGUCUGCGUACAUACUACCCUCCCCAUACCUCACUAAGUGGGAUUAUGUUGGGUUGUUUUGUUGUUGUUGUUGUUUAUAGUCUCACAAAGUGGGGUCUAGGGAGGGUAAUACGUACACAGGCCUUACCCCUACCCGAAAGGGCAGAGAGACUAUUUCCAAUCGACCCUCGGCUCACAAAAAAAAAAUAAGAAAGGAAAAGAAAAAAUAAAGAAAAAGAGAAAGAAAACAAAAAAAAGAAGAAAAACAAAAGAGCAUUAGUAACUCCAGCAGAUUUCCUAGUUAACGUGUGUAGGAUAGUUUCUAUUAAUGAGGGUUUGUCAUAUGUACAGGAGACUGAGUAUAAAGUCUAGCUGGAUUUGUAAAUAUUCUACUUGGUAAUUAACAAAAGUUGAUAGUUACCCCAAAAAUUAAAGAAUUUUAAAACCCACGCUUACAUCAGAUAAGAUAAUAAAAGCAUCAUAAUGCUGGAUUAAAGAAAAUACUCCCUC
rnacentral:lncRNA from 1 species